GUCUACUGUAUCCAUAACCUGGAGACGAUUGCAGUUGUUUGAAAAAACAUAUUGUCAGACAGCUUCUUCUUCGUCUUCUUUUUCUUAUUCUUCUUCUGUUUGACGGAUCGCAACCAAAUUCACGCGCUACCGCCACCAGGAGCGUGAACAAUAUUACAUGACAUUAAACAAACCAAUCAAAAUCUUCUAUUAGUUUGUACCGCCCACUUGCGGCUUAAUGUCCCACCCACUUGCAGCUGGCUCCGACCUCCGUUUAUACCUAUCUCACCGGGGUGGCACGGGGUGGCAACUGCCACCCUAAGAAAAAGCUUGCCACCCCAUCUGCCACCCCAAAAUUAUCACAGAAUAAAAUAUAAAUGUAAGCAGUGUUUCAAGUACUGCUUUUCAGAAGCGGCGCUUCAAUGUGAUGACCUAAAAAAAAGUCAGCGUAACGCAAAAUAAAGGCAAGAAAACACGUCUUUCAAUAAACGGCAUGAUGGUUGCACGCGCACGCAGCGCGCCCACUGUAGUCAGCUUCAUUAACAAAUGACUCUUAUGAACCGGUUCUUUGAGAGUCAAAAAAACAGCGCAGCCAAGUUCACUUACGAUUUUUCCCCCAGAAGUCCUGUGAGAAAUGUAAUCCCAUCCGAAUAUGUCUGAGAUUCAUUUUCGGAAUUUUUUGGCGAGAUUCACCGACCGCCCGCUCCACUUUCAUCAUGGAUAAAGGUCUUUUUGUCAUCCGACGAAACAAUAACAUGAAAUCAAUUAGAGGAUCCCGAUCACAGAACAUAAUAGCAGAGUUAGAUAUUAUGCAAUGUUGUAGCUGAACUCAUGCCAGGUUUUGGAGACCCUCCUUCCGCUGGACCAAAGCCAUCACUCCAAACGAUGUUGAUGGCCCAGAAGAUAACACUCUGUCUGCUGUGCCACAUGGAGAAAAACAUCUUGGCGGUUCUCAUUUGAGGCUGGUCCUGCAACACAGAAUUCCUCUGAAACCCUCCACCUCCCCCAGCUCCACCUGCC